rnacentral:rRNA from 1 species
CUGCCCUUAACUCUGGGAUAAGCCUGGGAAACUGGGUCUAAUACCGGAUAGGAGCGUCCACCGCAUGGUGGGUGUUGGAAAGAUUUUCGGUUUUGGAUGGACUCGCGGCCUAUCAGCUUGUUGGUGAGGUAAUGGCUCACCAAGGCGACGACGGGUAGCCGGCCUGAGAGGGUGACCGGCCACACUGGGACUGAGACACGGCCCAGACUCCUACGGGAGGCAGCAGUGGGGAAUAUUGCACAAUGGGCGCAAGCCUGAUGCAGCGACGCCGCGUGAGGGAUGACGGCCUUCGGGUUGUAAACCUCUUUCAGUAGGGAAGAAGAAAUGACGGUACCUGCAGAAGAAGCACCGGCUAACUACGUGCCAGCAGCCGCGGUAAUACGUAGGGUGCGAGCGUUAUCCGGAAUUAUUGGGCGUAAAGAGCUCGUAGGCGGUUUGUCGCGUCUGUCGUGAAAGUCCGGGGCUUAACCCCGGAUCUGCGGUGGGUACGGGCAGACUAGAGUGCAGUAGGGGAGACUGGAAUUCCUGGUGUAGCGGUGGAAUGCGCAGAUAUCAGGAGGAACACCGAUGGCGAAGGCAGGUCUCUGGGCUGUAACUGACGCUGAGGAGCGAAAGCAUGGGGAGCGAACAGGAUUAGAUACCCUGGUAGUCCAUGCCGUAAACGUUGGGCACUAGGUGUGGGGACCUUCCACGGUUUCGCGCCGCAGCUAACGCAUUAAGUGCCCCGCCUGGGGAGUACGGCCGCAAGGCUAAAACUCAAAGGAAUUGACGGGGGCCCGCACAAGCGGCGGAGCAUGCGGAUUAAUUCGAUGCAACGCGAAGAACCUUACCAAGGCUUGACAUGUCUCGAUCGCCGUAGAGAUACGGUUUCCCUUUGGGCGGGUUCACAGGUGGUGCAUGGUUGUCGUCAGCUCGUGUCGKGAGAUGUUGGGUUAAGUCCCGCAACGAGCGCAACCCUCGUUCCAUGUUGCCAGCACUNNUGUGGGGACUCAUGGGAGACUGCCGGGGUCAACUCGGAGGAAGGUGAGGACGACGUCAAAUCAUCAUGCCCCUUAUGUCUUGGGCUUCACGCAUGCUACAAUGGCCGGUACAAUGGGUUGCGAUACUGUGAGGUGGAGCUAAUCCCAAAAAGCCGGUCUCAGUUCGGAUUGGGGUCUGCAACUCGACCCCAUGAAGUCGGAGUCGCUAGUAAUCGCAGAUCAGCACGCUGCGGUGAAUACGUUCCCGGGCCUUGUACACACCGCCCGUCAAGUCACGAAAGUUGGUAACACCCGAAGCCGGUGGCCUAACC